AGGCCGAAAGGCGUAGUCGAUGGAUAGCAGGUUAAUAUUCCUGCGCACCUGUUGAGAUCAAAGCGUAGUGCGGAUCUCCAAGCUCUUCUGGACUGCUAGUUGUCCAGGCCUUCGGGCCGUUGAAGGGGGAGGGGGUUCCUAGAAAAGCUGCGUGGGCAAUACAGGUCCCGUACUAAAACUGACACAGGUAGACGAGGCGAAUAGCCUCAGGCGCUCGAGAGAAUGGUUGUGAAGGAAUUAGGCAAAAUCACUCCGUACGUUCGCAAGAAGGAGGCCCUUCGGGGCGCAGAGAAAAGGUCCUGGCAACUGUUUAUCAAAAACACAGCACUGUGCUAACUCGCAAGAGGAUGUAUACAGUGUGACGCUUGCCCAAUGCCCGAAUGUCACGGAAGCAGGUUAGCUUCGGCGAAGCUUGCAACUUAAGCACGGGUCAAUGGCGGCCGUAACUAUGACGGUCCUAAGGUAGCGAAGUUCCUUGUCGGGUAAGUUCCGACGCGCAUGAAUAGCGUAAUGACUGGGACACUGUCUCCACAACCAACUCGGUGAAAUAGUAGUGGCGGUGAAGAUGCCGCCUACCCGCAGCAAGACGGAAAGACCCCGUGAACCUU
rnacentral:rRNA from 1 species